AGUCGGACGGGAUUCGGAACUUCGGUUUUGAUGAGAGUGGCGCACGGGUGCGUAACGCGUAUGCAACCUACCUAUUACAGGGGGAUAGCCCGGGGAAACUCGGAUUAAUACCCCAUAGUAUAUUUGAAUGGCAUCAUUUAGAUAUUAAAGAUUUAUCGGUAAUAGAUGGGCAUGCGUAGGAUUAGCUAGUUGGUAAGGUAACGGCUUACCAAGGCUACGAUCCUUAGGGGUUCUGAGAGGAAGGUCCCCCACACUGGUACUGAGAUACGGACCAGACUCCUACGGGAGGCAGCAGUAGGGAAUAUUGGGCAAUGGACGGAAGUCUGACCCAGCCAUGCCGCGUGCAGGAAGACGGCCUUAUGGGUUGUAAACUGCUUUUAUCAGGGAAGAAAAAGGCCAUGCGUGGCAAAUUGCCGGUACCUGAUGAAUAAGCACCGGCUAACUCCGUGCCAGCAGCCGCGGUAAUACGGAGGGUGCAAGCGUUGUCCGGAUUUAUUGGGUUUAAAGGGUGCGUAGGCGGGUUAAUAAGUCAGCGGUGAAAGUCCAGUGCUCAACACUGGAAUUGCCAUUGAUACUGUUAAUCUUGAGUGUCGAUGGGGUACAUGGAAUUUAUGGUGUAGCGGUGAAAUGCAUAGAUACCAUAAGGAACACCGAUAGCGAAGGCAUUGUACUUAUCGAUAACUGACGCUG
rnacentral:rRNA from 1 species